GGCGCCACAGUCCUCUACCCCUACGUGGUGUAUGACCCUGGGCCCGAGAGUGCUCUCGAAUAAAAAUCCUCUUGCAAUUUGCAGCAAGAACGUUUCUCGUUGGUGAUUUUGGGGUGUCGCCUCUCCUGAGUCAGAACGUGGGGGUGUCCUCACGUUGUGGGUCUUUCAUUUGUUGCGUUGGCCGGGAAACCUGACCACCCCUCACACCUGAGAACCGACUUGGAGGUAUGGGGAUCCCCUCUUGUGUGUGUGCUGGCCAGUGUCUCUGUUUUGAGUGUCUGUUUUCUGAAAGGAACAUUGGAACAUGUGCUUUUUGUGUUGGGUUGUUUGUGUCUUGUCUUCUGUUUCUGAAGCAUGGCGAAGUCUGAGUUUGGAUCCAUCUGAGUUUAUUGAAUUUGUGUCUUGGUUUCAGGGUUACGAGAUCGUGGGUUCGAGUCCCACCUUGUGCCUUGGUUUUACACCUGGCAGAGUGAGGAACAAGUGUGCUUCUCUGUUUUUGGUCGUCUAGGUAGAAGUGGAUGAUGGUGUUUGUAGACGAUGGGGUGAUGGGGUUUUCUGAAAUGCGCACGUCUGCACUUGCAGCUGUCCUUUUGGGCCGUAAGGACCGGAGGACUGUGGUCGGCAGACGUGCUAGGAGGACCACAGGCUGUGGCCCUGGGGGACGCCCUGGGAGGUAAGGAGAGCCAGGGACGCCUGGCCGUCUCCGGAUCGGUCAGAGGGACCGAGUUCUGUUGAAGCGGAAGCUUCCCCCUCCAAAAUCGUCUAAUUCUUUUGCCUGCUUGUAGAGGACAAGAAAGGGUCGAGUGUGUCUAGAUCUGUUGGUUUCUGUUUUGUGUGUUUUUCUGUAUGUGUUUAGAGCUAUGUGAAAUUCUAGAAAAACAAAGGUAAUUCUCAUAGGUGCUUUAUACCCUGACUAGAGAUAGUUUACACCUGAGAUGUGAGAAAAUGGGUUUUGAGAAAAGCAGUACUCUCCGACUAUCGGGAUAAUUUGGUAAUAAAAUAAAAUAAACAGUAUCAAUUGGUCUUUGGAGCCCUGCAUCUGUAGUUAGAAAUCUAGUGUGGCUGGAGAAGCCCUGCUAGGCGCGGAUUAUAAACGCUGCUCUUAUAGGGACGAGCAGCUUCUCAAGUUCUAUGGUAAGAGAACAGAUGGCUGCUUUUCCUACAAAAAUCUCUGUGCUUGUGAUUAUUAGAUUCAUCAGGUGACAAGGUGCUCCUCUCUUGAAAUUACAGCUAGAAAAAUUAAGAAUUUUGUUUGGUUUAUAUGGACAAAUGUAUACGGCCAUUUCAUUUUUGUUUCUAAAUAGUUUCAAAAGUAUAAAUAUGUUUUAUAUGUCUUGGUUAUAGAUUAGUGGCUCAUAAGAUAUUGGUUAUGAUUAAAAAUUUGUAACAUUGGUAAGAAAAAGUGGAUUUAAAACUGGUAACUCUGAGUUAGAGUAAUUUAGAACUACAACACGCAGCAUGAGACAACCCAUGGGAACAGGUCUCUAAAGAUACGCCUGAAUUGGGUAAUAUUCUGUGUAAUUCUUAUCCUAGAAACCCGAUUUAUAAUAGAUAUAUUGACGGCUACACCUUCUUGUGUUUGUGUGCAGGAACGGACAGCCAAACUUUGUAGCAAGUAAUGUUUUUAGAGUUCAUUUUUAAAGAAAAAAUAGAUUGUUUUCACUGUUAAAAUUGGGUUUUGCUUCUCAAAAUUGUGGUUGUAUAAAGCCUCCUGAGUGGCCUAGUCCACUACCUCCCCCUUAUCCACAGCCUCAACCCCAGCCGCCGAGGGAACCCUGAACCCCUCAGGGUGGCAGGAGGAGGACCGCUGUGGGUACAUGGAGCCACAGGGAGCCGCAGAGUGGAGAGUCCGGGCGGACUCUGGUGGACCCGCCCAAACUUUAAACCCUUCAGUACUGGUCAUUUUCCUCUGCUGGUAUUUAUAACUGGAAAAUUAACCACCCCCUUUCUCAGGAUCCCCAACGCCUCACAGGGUUGGUAGAGUUCCUUAUGUUCUCUCAUCAGCCUACUUGGGAUGACUGUCAACAGCGGUUGCAGAUGCUCUUAACAACCGAAGAGCGAGAAAAAAUUCUGUUAGAGGCUAGAAAAAUAGCCCGAAAGCCAACGGCGGUCUACACAGCUACAAAAUGAGAUCAGCAUGAGAUUCCUUUUGACUCGCCCCAGUUGUGACUACAACAUGGCUAAAGGUAAGGAGAGCUUAAAAAAAACUAUCGCCAGGCUCCGGUCUCCAAGGUGCCUCAAGAUGGGCCCACUAAUUUGGCUAAGGUAAGAGGUAAUGCAGGGGCCAAUUGAACCUCCCUCAAUGUUCCUUGAAAGGCUUAUAAAAGCCUUCAGGCGGUUCACUCCCUUUGAUCUUACAUCGGAAGCCCAGAAGGCCUCAGUGGCCAUGGCCUUUCAUAAGGCAGUCAGCUCCCGAUAUUAGAAAGAAACUUCAGAGAUUGGAAGGUGUAUUACAAGAAGGAGACAGUUAUGCGAUCUAGUAAAAGAGGCAGAGAAAGUGUGUGUGUGAAAGAGAGAGAGGCUGGAGACAAAAAAAAAAGAGAGAAAACAGGAGGGAUCAUAGACAAGAAAGAAAUCUUGGCCGCAGUG
rnacentral:lncRNA from 1 species